CAUAGGAACUCACUGUGUUUUUCCACUUUGUUUUAUUGUGAUGUGUUUUUACAUAAAAUCAAACUCAAUUGCGUUGUCGUUUUAAUUUUCCGCCUCUAACUUGAUUUAUAUUAUCGACGAGUUCAUCAAUGUGUGAAUUUUUGAUGUCAACUCAAUAUUUACACACUUAAUAGCUUCAUUUGCGGCACUGUGGCAUAUGCGGAGACAACGCGGUGGCAGCCACGCGCGCGAUACGCAGACAGAAAGAGGGACAGGCAGACAGGCAGGCAGUGUGUGGCGCAUAAAGCGGAAGUUCGUAAAACGAUAAGGACGAUUUGUCAUGGCAGGACACAGAGAUUAAGUUGCAUUGGCGGCAAUUUCCUCUCUCUCUCUCUGUGUGUCGACGCCAUUUAUGGAUAGUCACUCGGCCAGGCCAUAUCGACGCUUCAUAAAACUUAAGUAGCUGCCUGGCUGACAGUCGAUGGCAUUAAAUUGAAUUGCCCGGACCCUGAAGUUGUCAAGGAGGUGGAAAUUAUUACAAUGACGACGACGACCAUUGCUUAUGGCUGCUGAUCAAAGGCAGAGAAUUCUUGCCUUAACACUGCAAUGCAUUUCAGCAAAAAAAAAAAA